AAAAAGGCAAACCCUGGGUUUCCGUGUCCAACUUUGACUGUCCGUCUUAUAUGAAAUAUUUUUAUAAUUCGUAUUUUCAUUGUUGUUAGAUGAUAAAACAUGAUUAAUAUUUUAUGCGUGACUUGUCUUUUUAAUUUUUUUUAAAUAAGACGAACGGUCAAACAUUUGGCACGGAAACU
rnacentral:pre_miRNA from 1 species